CAAUAGCGUAUCUUAAAGUUGCUGCAGUUAAAAGCUCGUAGUUGGACCUCGGGAUCGAGCUGACGGUCCGCCGCGAGGCGAGCUACCGUCUGUCCCAGCCCCUGCCUCUCGGCGCCCCCUCGAUGCUCUUAGCUGAGUGUCCCGCGGGGUCCGAAGCGUUUACUUUGAAAAAUUAGAGUGUUCAAAGCAGGCCCGGUCGCCUGAAUACCGCAGCUAGGAAUAAUGGAAUAGGACUCCGGUUCUAUUUUGUGGGUUUUCUUCUCUGAACUGGGGGCCAUGAUUAAGAGGGACGGCCUGGGGGGCAUUUCGUAUUGUGCCGCUAGAGGGUGAAAUUCUUGGACCGGGCGCAAGACGGACGAAAGCGAAAAGCAUUUGCCAAGAAUGUUUUCAUUAAUCAAGAAC
rnacentral:rRNA from 1 species